AUCACACCUGGUGCAUCCCAAUGAGUGGAGAAAAAAAGUUUAAAGGAGCAGCUGCCAACUUUUCAGAAACACGAUCACCUUCCCUCCUCCUGCAAACAGACUAACUUGUACACUCUCCUGCUUCUCCAGAUACACUGAAAAAGGCAGGCGGCACUGUUCCUGAGAUGCAUGAGCUUUGCACUGUGGUCCAGCACAUCUCUGUUGUAGGCUUCCUCAUGCCUGAUCCUGAAAGGGUCACUCCUACCCUUUCCAAAAACCACUACAGGUACAGCGGGACACUAAUCCCUUCAGGUUCACCUGAUGUUAGGGACCAAAUAAAAGCUUGGAAAGGU
rnacentral:lncRNA from 1 species